UUUCCCACUGUACAGCAAGGGGGUCAGGUUAUGAAGGAUAAACAUGACUUUAAAGCCACCUUUUCUCCCCCUGUAUUCCAGGAAAAAAAAAAAAAAUCUCUGAUUCGUGUGCUCUGCAGAGAACGUGAAGGGCCCAGAGGAACAAAGGCAGCCCAGCCUUCAGCCCAAACCUUCUCUCUCAGGAAAGCCCCUGUCUCCUUUUUGAAGGACCUCAGGUGUCUGGGAGAAACGGGGACAGGCAAUUGGGAGGUGAGGGAUGUUUUCCCCAAAGAAGUUCCUAAGGCUUAGGUAGGCACUUACCUGCUCAGAGAGGAAUGUAUGCCAACAAUUAGAGUGACUUUCUUGUACAUCCCAGUGUCUGGGUACGUUUUAAAUUAUAAUGGAACAAUUUGCAUAUGAACAUCAAUCUUUGCACUUUGCUCAUAACUAACAGCAGACCUGAGUCGUAACUUCAGAGUAGUUGAGAGCUCAGUUCUGGAGUCAGAAAUACUCUUCUCAAGCCCAGAGCCACAUUUUCAAUCCCUGUGACCUUGAGGAAGCUGAGCCUCAGUUUCCUAAUCUAUAAAAUGGGGAGGUAGUAUGGGAGGGUUAAAUGAGAUGACUGGAGUUCGCUUUGUGGCUCAGCGGGUUAAGAACCCAGUUAGUAUCCACGAGGAUUUGGGUUCAGUCCCUGGCCUCCCUCGGUGGGCUAAGGAUCUGGUGUUGCCACAGCCUGCGGCACUUGGAUCCCUAGUUGCUGUGGCUGUGGUGUAGGCAGCCAGCUGCAGCUCUGAUUCAACCCCUAGCCCAGGAACUUCCAUAUGUCACCAGUGCGGCCCUGAAAAAGAAAAAAAAAAUUUUUUUAAUAAAAGGUGAAUGAGACGAGAGGUGAAAAGCUGCAACCUGACACAGCAUAAACUCCUCAGCAAACGUUGACUCGUCUUUGAGUCAUGGAUCCCACAGGGACGCUCCGUCUGAGGUGACAUUCUCAGGGGUGGCAUGAGGAGCAGAAGUGGAACCCCAGUCUCCGGUGACCCCCUCUGACUCCAGGGGUGUUCCUGAGAGUCGUGGUGUGAAACUUGCCUCUCAUCUGUAGGCAGCUCCUCUGCCCAGCUGCCCACUCAGUCCUGAGGAAGGAGCCCCAAGUUGGCUCAGCCCAGGCUGGGACAGUGCCUCCGCUCAGGCUGCCCUGCUGUGGCAUCCACCUGCCCAACGCCUGGACCAGGCCAGACCCCCCAAAACGCCACGACUGCAGUUCUCUGCUCACAGCCCUGACCCCAUCACCUCAGCCUGAUGCCGAGAUGCAUCCAGAGCGCGACUCCACCAGAUGGACCCACCUCAUCUCUCCUCUUCUGCACACCGCCCGCCACAUCCCGGCUACGAAUGCGCCCAGCCUGCUCCAGGUUUGCCCCACCCUGAAGGUCUUCCCGGGUCCUCUGCCUGCCCAACCUGACCUGGGGCUGCUCGAGCCUCCAGGUGGGACGUCCUAUAAUGUCUAGAAGGAAUAUGCUCUAAGCUAGAAUUCUCCGCUCCCCUUGAUUUCAUGUGGAAAACAUUAAGCUGGAUCCUUACCACACUCAUCACACCAAAAUAAAUCAUAAAUGGGUCAAACAUUUAAAUGUUUAAAAAUCCAUAAAUAGUGUUGAAGAAAAUACAGGCAAAUCCCCUUAUGUUCGCAAAGUAGGAAAGGACUUUUAUGUAUGUCACAAAAUCCAAAAGCUGUAAAUAGAAAAUUUUUUAAAUCUGAGUAAAGAACAUUAAAAUUUUAUGCAUGGGAAAAAAAAAAAAAAAGACCAGUACUGGUAUAUGUUUGUAGCACUAUGACAAAGGGCUCCUGUAAAUCACUAAGAAAAAGGGCAGCAAUGUAAUAUAAAACUGGGCAAAGGAUAUGAACAGACUAGUCACAGGGGGGAAAAAACAGCUUUUAAAACUAUAAAAAAAUACUCAGUCUCGUCAUUUAAAAGACACAAAUUAGAAACUACAACAGAAUUAUUAUUUUCCAUUAUCAGUUUAGCAAAGUUAAUUUUUUUCUAAUCCAUUGUGUUGGCAAGAGUGUAAGGAAAGAGGCAUUCUUAUAAAUACUCACUUACACUCUUGGCUGGAGAUGUAAAUUGUACAGCCUCUCCAAGCAGCAGUUAGGCAGCAGCAAUUAAAAUUUAAAGUUUGCAUACCCAUCAACCCAGCACUUUCCUACACAUUGCUUGCACAGGACUGUCUGUGGUCAACUCUUCACCAUCCACCCACUUCUAAAAGCUCUGAAUCCUAAAAGAAAAGGGUGUCGCUACAGUUGCCAGAAGGCCCAUCCAGGUUGGUUCUGAGUUAAUCCGCCAAUGAGAAGCCCUUGCAGAUGAGAAAAGGGAGGAGCCACCACUGUUUUGCAUACACAGGUGGAGCCAGGCUCAGGAGGCACUUAUUUAUUCAGGGAGAAUUUAUCCUAUAGGUUUACUCACAUAUGUAUGAAAUCAUAUAUAUAUACAUAUCAAAAAAUUUUAUGAUCUCUAAUAGCAAAAGAUGGUAAGCAACCUAAGCAUAUCAAUGGUGGAUAAUUAAAAAUAUCAUGAUACUUUUCACAGCCACAUAUGAAGCAUAUGGAAGUUCCCAGGGGUUGGAAUCAGCUGCAGCACACACUGGCUACCAAGCUACCGCUUGUAGCAAUGCCAGAUCCUUAACCCACUGAUGGAGGCCAGGGAUUGAACCCACAUCCUCACAGAGACAACUUUGGAGCCUCAACCGGCUGAGCCACAGCAGAAAUUCCAAAAAUAUCAUGAUACCUCUAUAGGCUAGAUUUUCCCAUUUUACAAAACAGCACAGUGCUUCAUGGGUCCAUACGUAUGAUCUUCAAUGAAAAGUAUUUUUAGUUUAAAUUGAGUACUACCAUUUGUAUAAUAAAGACCAAGAAAAGUGCCAGGUGUAAUAUAAGAAACCAGCGAUCGAGAGCACCUCUGAGGAAAGAUUAAAGAAUCAGCAGUGGGAGGUGAGGCACCUCACCCCUCGAGCUUUUUACUCUUGAAUAUUCCAUCAUGUGCACAUAUUUUUUAAAAAAGAAACUACUAAUUAUUUAAUCAGAUGGCAUAAUCAUCAUGAAAUGCCAGUGAGGCAUCAAUAAGCAGGACAGCAUGCUUUCUUCCUUUUUCUUCUCUUUCUGUUUUUUAUUUUUUCCUGAAAUUUAAAGCAAAUUGAAGGUAGGGAAUUUGAACUUCUUGCUAGAGUAUUUUGGAAUAAUGUCCAUUUGCUUUUUUGGAAAUUAAUUUUCUACAUCCAUUCACACUGACUAAUGCUCUCUCCUCACGCCCCAAAGAUGAGGUCGAAACUGCAUUGAGAUUUGCUCCCAUGUCUCAUUCUAAUCUAGGAUUAGUACUUAUGUUUCAAAUCCAUGCUCUUUACCUUACUGAGCUGAAAUGCCUACUGUCUUUUGGUUGAUCAAUUCAAGAGACUGAUUUGACUGUUCUCAUAUCUUACCUCUAAUCAAAACGAAUCAACAAAAAAGAGUAAUCAUUUAGUUUAAAAAUUGGCCAUUUGGAGUUCCUGUUGUGGCUCAGUGGUAACAAACCCAAAUAGUAUCCAUGAGGACACAGGUUCAAUUCCUGGCCCCACUGAGUGGGUUAAGGAUACGGCAUUGUGGUGUACUGUGGUGUAGGUCACAGAUGUGGCUCAGAUCUCUUGUUGCUGUGGCUGGGGUGUGGGCUGGCAGCUGCAGCUCUGAUUCGAUCCCUAGCCUAGAAAUUUCCAUAUGCCCGCAGCAGGUGUGGCCCUAAAAAGGCAAAGAAACAAACAAACAAAUAAAUAAAUAAAAUUGGCCACUCACCAAUUUAUUCAAAUAUAGUAGGGUGCUCAUUUUUUAAAAUAUUAUUAUUGCUAUUACUAAUUUCUAGACAUCAUAACAAGACAUUUCUUGGCUCUUCUUGAUAUUUCCGCAGAAAAGAGCAAUGGUUAUGUUUUAUUUUGCUUUAUACAUAAUAUCUUCGGUCUUCCCAGCUACAUGUGCUAGGAAUUCCAUCUCUCCUUUACUGAUGCAGUUUUUAGCUGGGCUUCUCUCUCUUCCAAAGGCAAGAGUCCCAACAGUUCUAAUCCUGUCUGUCCUCCUCUGUUGAACUGACAGAUACACAGCCUCACAAACCUCUCUUUUGAGUCAUUCUAGUAAUUCAGCUCCUAAUGAAAUAUGCCCUCCCAACACCGGCUCAUCCUUCCCUAAUUCACUUCAGUUUUCCUUCCCUCACAUUCACUCAGCCUUCAGAUCUUCAAGUUCAGCCCAAGGUGCCCUCCCUGCAUAUCCCAGUGAAAGAGCAAGAGACAGAGAUCAUUUCCAGGAAGCUUAAGGAAAAAGAUAUAUUACAAGGUGUUAUGGGUGGAAUUAUGUCGCCCCUCCCCUUAGAACUGUGUCCAAGUCUUCGCCCCAGCACUGGUAAAUGUGACCUGAUUUGGAAACACAGUCUUGGCAGAUGUGAUCAAGUUAAGAUGAGGUCACUAGGGGGGCUCACAUCCAAUAAGACCGGCAUCCUUAUCAAGAGAGGAGAAGGGACAUAGAGACAGACACACAGAGAGAAAGCAAUGGGAAGAGACACAGACAGCAUUCGUGCAACAGCAGAGGAAGAGGGUGGAGCGAUGCAUCUCCAUAUCAAGGAAUGCCAGGAACUGCCGAGCAUGACCAGAAGCUGGAAGGGAGCUGGACAACUUCCCUCCCUCAGGGCCCUCAAAGGGAACCAACUGUGCCAACAACUUGACCUGGGUCUUCUGCUUGGAGAGAAUAAAUUUCUUUGGUUUAAAGCUGCCUUGUCUGUAGUACGUUGUUACAGUAGCCACAGGAAACUAAUACACAAGGAUGCUGGAUUGUCUUGGGCUAGUCAAGGACAGGACCAGAUGAAGCCAGGCACUCGAACCUGCCAGUUUAGUCUCCAGCCAGCCCCCUCUACAACCGGCUUUGUUCUUCCCUCUCACCACAGACUUUCCCAAAGGGUAGGACCACUCUGUCAGCAACCCCAAGCUUUGUCUCUUACAAUUUCUGCCAUUAGGGUUAUUCUAAGUCCUCAGUCAUAACUCCCAGAGAAGCAUGGGUCAAAGGCCCCCUUGGGCAAUCAGCUGUGGGCAGGAGAGGAAGGCCACACUGCUCAGAGUUACAGCUUAAGCAAACAUGGCCAAAGACAGCUUCUAGAAGAAAGGAGGCUAAAAUUCCAUCUCCUCUCUCAUAUGCAAUCUUUCCCCAAAGUUUCCUCUCCAAGACUCCUUCCACCUCAGCCCCC
rnacentral:lncRNA from 1 species